UGGCAGCAGCAGCUUUGAGGGCGUUGAUGGGCUGCUGGUCGGAGGUGAGAAGGCCACCAUGCAGAACCUCAAUGACCGCCUGGCCUCCUACCUGGACAAGGUGCGUGCUCUGGAGGAGGCCAACGCCGACCUGGAAGUGAAGAUCCAUGACUGGUACCAGUGGCAGCGGCCUGCUGAGAUCAAAGACUACAGUCCCUACUUCAAGACCAUCGAGGAUCUGAGGAACAAGAACAUAAUGGGAUGGUGAGUGCAGACGACACACACGGCCUCAGUCUAUGGGAACAUCUCAAAGGAGUUCGUCUGCAAAUUCUAGUGCAUCUAGGCAGAACACAGGAAGGAAGAGAGGUGCAGACUUACGUAUGGCCCUGGGGCACCUGCCAUCCCCUCGAGCCUGUAUGGUCCUUACCCGCCCAUCCCCAGCUUGAGUUCUGGGCCUUCUCGCCAGCACAUCGUUGGGACCUG
rnacentral:lncRNA from 1 species